rnacentral:tRNA from 1 species
UCCCGGGUGGUCUAAUUUGGCAAGGACGCGCGGUUUUGGUCCGCGAGGCUGAAGGUUCGAGUCCUUCCCCGGGAG